ACGGUCCUAAGGUAGCGAAAUUCCUUGUCGGGUAAGUUCCGACCUGCACGAAUGGCAUAAUGAUGGCCAGGCUGUCUCCACCCGAGACUCAGUGAAAUUGAAAUCGCCGUGAAGAUGCGGUGUACCCGCGGCUAGACGGAAAGACCCCGUGAACCUUUACUAUAGCUUGACACUGAACAUUGAAUUUUGAUGUGUAGGAUAGGUGGGAGACUUUGAAGUAGUCACGCCAGUGAUUAUGGAGUCGUCCUUGAAAUACCACCCUUUAACGUUUGAUGUUCUAACGAAGAUUACGAAACGUGGUCUCGGACAGUGUCUGGUGGGUAGUUUGACUGGGGCGGUCUCCUCCCAAAGAGUAACGGAGGAGCACGAAGGUUUGCUAAUGACGGUCGGACAUCGUCAGGUUAGUGCAAUGGUAUAAGCAAGCUUAACUGCGAGACAGACAAGUCGAGCAGGUACGAAAGUAGGUCAUAGUGAUCCGGUGGUUCUGAAUGGAAGGGCCAUCGCUCAACGGAUAAAAGGUACUCCGGGGAUAACAGGCUGAUACCGCCCAAGAGUUCAUAUCGACGGCGGUGUUUGGCACCUCGAUGUCGGCUCAUCACAUCCUGGGGCUGAAGUAGGUCCCAAGGGUAUGGCUGUUCGCCAUUUAAAGUGGUACGCGAGCUGGGUUUAGAACGUCGUGAGACAGUUCGGUCCCUAUCUGCCGUGGGCGUUGGAGAAUUGAUUGGGGCUGCUCCUAGUACGAGAGGACCGGAGUGGACGCACCACUGGUGUUCCGGUUGUGUCGCCAGACGCAUUGCCGGGUAGCUAAGUGCGGAAGAGAUAAGUGCUGAAAGCAUCUAAGCACGAAACUUGCCAAGAGAUGAGUUCUCCCAGAUUUUAAAUCUGUAAGGGUUGUUUAAGACUAAGACGUAGAUAGGUCUGGUGUGUAAGCGGUGCGAGCCGUUGAGCUAACAGAUACUAAUUGCCCGAGAGGCUUAACUAU
rnacentral:rRNA from 1 species